rnacentral:rRNA from 1 species
AUUGAACGCUGGCGGCAGGCUUAACACAUGCAAGUCGAGCGAGUGGCGGACGGGUGAGUAAUGUCUGGGAAACUGCCUUAUGGAGGGGGAUAACUACUGGAAACUGUAGCUAAUACCGCGUACCAUCAGAUGAGCCCAGAUGGGAUUAGUUAGUAGGUGGGGUAAUGGCUCACCAAGCCGACGAUCCCUAGCUGGUCUGAGAGGAUGACCAGCCACACUGGAACUGAGACACGGUCCAGACUCCUACGGGAGGCAGCAGUGGGGAAUAUUGCACAAUGGGAGCAAGCCUGAUGCAGCCAUGCCGCGUGUAUGAAGAAGGCCUUCGGGUUGUAAAGCACUUUCAGCGAGGAGGCGUUACUCACAGAAGAAGCACCGGCUAACUCCGUGCCAGCAGCCGCGGUAAUAC